UACGUAGGGCGCAAGCGUUAUCCGGAAUUACUGGGCGUAAAGGGCUCGUAGGCGGCCAACUAAGUCAGACGUGAAAUCCCUCGGCUUAACCGGGGAACUGCGUCUGAUACUGGAUGGCUGGAGUUUGGGAGAGGGAUGCGGAAUUCCAGGUGUAGCGGUGAAAUGCGUAGAUAUCUGGAGGAACACCGGUGGCGAAGGCGGCAUCCUGGACCAACACUGACGCUGAUGAGCGAAAGCCAGGGGAGCAAACGGGG
rnacentral:rRNA from 1 species